CAGCCGCCGCGGUAAUACGUAGGGUGCGAGCGUUAAUCGGAAUUACUGGGCGUAAAGCGUGCGCAGGCGGUUCGUUAAGACAGAUGUGAAAUCCCCGGGCUUAACCUGGGAACUGCAUUUGUGACUGGCGAGCUAGAGUAUGGCAGAGGGGGGUAGAAUUCCACGUGUAGCAGUGAAAUGCGUAGAGAUGUGGAGGAAUACCGAUGGCGAAGGCAGCCCCCUGGGCCAAUACUGACGCUCAUGCACGAAAGCGUGGGGAGCAAACAGGAUUAGAGACCCCCGUAGUCCCUGUCUCUUAUAU
rnacentral:rRNA from 1 species